UACGUAGGGCGCAAGCGUUAUCCGGAAUUAUUGGGCGUAAAGAGCUCGUAGGCGGUUUGUCGCGUCUGCCGUGAAAGCCCGGGGCUCAACUCCGGAUCUGCGGUGGGUACGGGCAGACUAGAGCGAUGUAGGGGAGACUGGAAUUCCUGGUGUAGCGGUGAAAUGCGCAGAUAUCAGGAGGAACACCGAUGGCGAAGGCAGGUCUCUGGGCAUUAACUGACGCUGAGGAGCGAAAGCAUGGGGAGCGAACAGG
rnacentral:rRNA from 1 species